rnacentral:rRNA from 1 species
CCUACGGGAGGCAGCAGUGGGGAAUAUUGGACAAUGGGGGGAACCCUGAUCCAGCGACGCCGCGUGAGUGAAGAAGUAUUUCGGUAUGUCAAGCUCUAUCAGCAGGGAAGAAAAUGACGGUACCUGACUAAGAAGCCCCGGCUAACUACGUGCCAGCAGCCGCGGUAAUACGUAGGGGGCAAGCGUUAUCCGGAUUUACUGGGUGUAAAGGGAGCGUAGACGGUGCAGCAAGUCUGAUGUGAAAGGUCGGGGCCCAACCCCGGGACUGCAUUGGAAACUGUUGAACUGGAGUACUGGAGAGGUAAGCGGAAUUCCUAGUGUAGCGGUGAAAUGCGUAGAUAUCAGGAGGAACACCAGCGGCGAAGGCGGCCUGCUGGACUGAAACUGACGUUGAGGCUCGAAAGCGUGGGGAGCAAACAGGAUUAGAUACCCUUGUAGUC